ACUCCUACGGGAGGCAGCAGUGAGGAAUAUUGGACAAUGGACGCAAGUCUGAUCCAGCCAUGCCGCGUGCAGGAAGACUGCCCUAUGGGUUGUAAACUGCUUUUAUUUGGGAAUAAACCCCUCUACGUGUAGAGGGCUGAAGGUACCAAAUGAAUAAGCACCGGCUAACUCCGUGCCAGCAGCCGCGGUAAUACGGAGGGUGCAAGCGUUAUCCGGAAUCAUUGGGUUUAAAGGGUCCGCAGGCGGACGUAUAAGUCAGUGGUGAAAGCCUACAGCUUAACUGUAGAACUGCCAUUGAUACUGUAUGUCUUGAAUUCGGUCGAAGUGGGCGGAAUGUGUCAUGUAGCGGUGAAAUGCAUAGAUAUGACACAGAACACCGAUAGCGAAGGCAGCUCACUAGGCCUGAAUUGACGCUCAGGGACGAAAGCGUGGGGA
rnacentral:rRNA from 1 species